rnacentral:tRNA from 1 species
ACCUGGUUGGCUUAAUCUUUAGAGCACUGACUCUUGAUCUCAGAGUCAUGAGUUCAAGUCCCAUACUGGGUG